AUUCCGAGUCCCGCGGACGAACUUCGCCCACGCCCCCCACCAAGGCUAUAGCCCACCCGUUUAUUGGCCAUUUUUCCGCUGGGGGGUCUUGGGACCCCGACCUUCGGGGGCUGGUUUUUGGGCGCGGCUGUGCCCGUGGCCUAUUUUUGGCACACGGAGGCCGCCCGCCAAGUCUGGUGCCAUUCCGAGUCCCGCGGACGAACUUCGCCCACGGCCCCCACCAAGGCUAUAGCCCACCCGUUUUUUGGCCAUUUUUCCGCUGGGGGGUCUUGGGACCCCGACCUUCGGGGGCUGUUUUUUGGGCGCGGCUGUGCCCGUGGCCUAUUUUUGGCACACGGAGGCCGCCCGCCAAGUCUGGUGCCAUUCCGAGUCCCGCGGACGAACUUCGCCCACGGCCCCCACCAAGGCUAUAGCCCACCCGUUUUUUGGCCAUUUUUCCGCUGGGGGGUCUUGGGACCCCGACCUUCGGGGGCUGUUUUUUGGGCGCGGCUGUGCCCGUGGCCUAUUUUUGGCACACGGAGGCCGCCCGCCAAGUCUGGUGCCAUUCCGAGUCCCGCGGACGAACUUCGCCCACGCCCCCCACCAAGGCUAUAGCCCACCCGUUUUUUGGCCAUUUUUCCGCUGGGGGGUCUUGGGACCCCGACCUUCGGGGGCUGGUUUUUGGGCGCGUCUGUGCCCGUGGCCUAUUUUUGGCACACGGAGGCCGCCCGCCAAGUCUGGUGCCAUUCCGAGUCCCGCGGACGAACUUCGCCCACGCCCCCCACCAAGGCUAUAGCCCACCCGUUUUUUGGCCAUUUUUCCGCUGGGGGGUCUUGGGACCCCGACCUUCGGGGGCUGUUUUUUGGGCGCGGCUGUGCCCGUGGCCUAUUUUUGGCACACGGAGGCCGCCCGCCAAGUCUGGUGCCAUUCCGAGUCCCGCGGACGAACUUCGCCCACGCCCCCCACCAAGGCUAUAGCCCACCCGUUUUUUGGCCAUUUUUCCGCUGGGGGGUCUUCGGACCCCGACCUUCGGGGGCUGGUUUUUGGGCGCGGCUGUGCCCGUGGCCUAUUUUUGGCACACGGAGGCCGCCCGCCAAGUCUGGUGCCAUUCCGAGUCCCGUGGACGAACUUCGCCCACGGCCCCCACCAAGGCUAUAGCCAACCCGUUUUUUGGCCAUUUUUCCGCUGGGGGGUCUUGGGACCCCGACCUUGGGGGGCUGUUUUUUGGGCGCGGCUGUGCCCGUGGCCUAUUUUUGGCACACGGAGGCCGCCCGCCAAGUCUGGUGCCAUUCCGAGUCCCGCGGACGAACUUCGCCCACGCCCCCCACCAAGGCUAUAGCCCACCCGUUUUUUGGCCAUUUUUCCGCUGGGGGGUCUUGGGACCCCGACCUUCGGGGGCUGUUUUUUGGGCGCGGCUGUGCCCGUGGCCUAUUUUUGGCACACGGAGGCCGCCCACCAAGUCUGGUGCCAUUCCGAGUCCCGCGGACGAACUUCGCCCACGCCCCCCACCAAGGCUAUAGCCCACCUAUUUUUUGGCCAUUUUUCCGCUGGGGGGUCUUGGGACCCCGACCUUCGGGGGCUGUUUUUUGGGCGCGGCAGUGCUCGUGGCCUAUUUUUGGCACACGGAGGCCGCCCUCCAAGUCUGCUGCCAUUCCGAGUCCCGCGGACGAACUUCGCCCACGCCCCCCACCAAGGCUAUAGCCCACCUAUUUUUUGGCCAUUUUUCCGCUGGGGGGUCUUGGGACCCCGAACUUCGAGGGCUGUUUUUUGGGUGCGGCUGUGCCCGUGGCCUAUUUUUGGCACACGGAGGCCGCCCGCCAAGUCUGGUGCCAUUCCGAGUCCCGCGGACGAACUUCGCCCACGCCCCCCACCAAGGCUAUAGCCCACCCGUUUUUUGGCCAUUUUUCCGCUGGGGGGUCUUGGGACCCCGACCUUCGGGGGCUGUUUUUUGGGCGCGGCUGUGCCCGUGGCCUAUUUUUGGCACACGGAGGCCGCCCGCCAAGUCUGGUGCCAUUCCGAGUCCCGCGGACGAACUUCGCCCACGCCCCCCACCAAGGCUAUAGCCCACCCGUUUUUUGGCCAUUUUUCCGCUGGCGGGUCUUGGGACCCCGGCCUUCGGGGGCUGUUUUUUGGGCGCGGCAGUGCCCGUGGCCUAUUUUUGGCACACGGAGGCCGCCCGCCAAGUCUGGUGCCAUUCCGAGUCCCGCGGACGAACUUCGCCCACGGCCCCCACCAAGGCUAUAGGCCACCCGUUUUUUGGCCAAUUUUCCGCUGGGGGGUCUUGGGACCCCGACCUUCGGGGGCUGUUUUUUGGGCGCGGCUGUGCCCGUGGCCUAUUUUUGGCACACGGAGGCCGCCCGCCAAGUCUGGUGCCAUUCCGAGUCCCGCGGACGAACUUCGCCCACGCCCCCCACCAAGGCUAUAGCCCACCCGUUUUUUGGUCAUUUUUCCGCUGGGGGGUCUUGGGACCCCGACCUUCGGGGGCUGUUUUUUGGGCGCGGCUGUGCCCGUGGCCUAUUUUUGGCACACGGAGGCCGCCCGCCAAGUCUGGUGCCAUUCCGAGUCCCGCGGACAAACUUCGCCCACGACCCCCACCAAGGCUAUAGGCCACCCGUUUUUUGGCCAUUUUUCCGCUGGGGGGGUCUUGGGACCCCGACCUUCGGGGGCUGUUUUUUGGACGCGGCUGUGCCCGUGGCCUAUUUUUGGCACACGGAGGCCGCCCGCCAAGUCUGGUGCCAUUCCGAGUCCCGCGGACGAACUUCGCCCACGGCCCCCACCAAGGCUAUAGGCCACCCGUUUUUUGGCCAAUUUUCCGCUGGGGGGUCUUGGGACCCCGACCUUCGGGGGCUGUUUUUUGGGCGCGGCUGUGCCCGUGGCCUAUUUUUGGCACACGGAGGCCGCCCGCCAAGUCUGGUGCCAUUCCGAGUCCCGCGGACGAACUUCGCCCACGCCCCCCACCAAGGCUAUAGCCCACCCGUUUUUUGGUCAUUUUUCCGCUGGGGGGUCUUGGGACCCCGACCUUCGGGGGCUGUUUUUUGGGCGCGGCUGUGCCCGUGGCCUAUUUUUGGCACACGGAGGCCGCCCGCCAAGUCUGGUGCCAUUCCGAGUCCCGCGGACGAACUUCGCCCACGGCCCCCACCAAGGCUAUAGCCCACCCGUUUUUUGGCCAUUUUUCCGCUGGGGGGUCUUGGGACCCCGACCUUCGGGGGCUGUUUUUUGGGCGCGGCUGUGCCCGUGGCCUAUUUUUGGCACACGGAGGCCGCCCGCCAAGUCUGGUGCCAUUCCGAGUCCCGCGGACGAACUUCGCCCACGCCCCCCACCAAGGCUAUAGCCCACCCGUUUUUUGGUCAUUUUUCCGCUGGGGGUCUUGGGACCCCGACCUUCGGGGGCUGUUUUUUGGGCGCGGCUGUGCCCGUGGCCUAUUUUUGGCACACGGAGGCCGCCCGCCAAGUCUGGUGCCAUUCCGAGUCCCGCGGACGAACUUCGCCCACGCCCCCCACCAAGGCUAUAGCCCACCCGUUUUUUGGCCAUUUUUCCGCUGGGGGGUCUUGGGACCCCGACCUUCGGGGGCUGUUUUUUGGGCGCGGCUGUGCCCGUGGCCUAUUUUUGGCACACGGAGGCCGCCCGCCACGUCUGGUGCCAUUCCGAGUCCCGCGGACGAACUUCGCCCACGGCCCCGACCAAGGCUAUAGCCCACCCGUUUUUUGGCCAUUUUUCCGCUGGGGGGUCUUGGGACCCCGACCUUCGGGGGCUGUUUUUUGGGCGCGGCUGUGCCCGUGGCCUAUUUUUGGCACACGGAGGCCGCCCGCCAAGUCUGGUGCCAUUCCGAGUCCCGCGGACGAACUUCGCCCACGGCCCCCACCAAGGCUAUAGCCCACCCGUUUUUUGGCCAUUUUUCCGCUGGGGGGUCUUGGGACCCCGACCUUCGGGGGCUGGUUUUUGGGCGCGGCUGUGCCCGUGGCCUAUUUUUGGCACACGGAGGCUGCCCGCCAAGUCUGGUGCCAUUCCGAGUCCCGCGGACGAACCUCGCCCACGCCCCCCACCAAGGCUAUAGCCCACCCGUUUUUUGGCCAUUUUUCCGCUGGGGGGUCUUGGGACCCCGACCUUCGGGGGCUGAUUUUUGGGCGCGGCUGUGCCCGUGGCCUAUUUUUGGCACACAGAGGCCGCCCGCCAAGUAUGGUGCCAUUCCGAGUCCCGCGGACGAACUUUGCCCACGCCCCCCACCAAGGCUAUAGCCCACCCGUUUUUUGGCCAUUUUUCCGCUGGGGGGUCUUGGGACCCCGACCUUCGGGGGCUGAUUUUUGGGCG
rnacentral:lncRNA from 1 species